GUUAGCGAAACGUAUGUAGAUAGUAGUGAUUGACGGGGAAAGCAUGAUAGGUCUUCGUGCAUGGUGUGGAGGUGAAUUCCAUCUAGUUAUUUUCUGUGUGAUGUUCGGAGUCUCACGAUCGUUUCGAGGCAUUCGUCAAAGGCGUUUGGGUGAGCUAUUUGAUCUUGCAACCCAAAGUCUCUCCUUAGAUUUCUGUUGUUCUCUAUCCUUAAACAGAAGUCGUAUCCAGUUUGAGUCUGUUAUCUACUUCAAAUUGUAAACUUCUUAGAAGCUCUUGUACGAGUCUAGACCAGGUUUUGGGAAUUUCUUAUAAUAAAAGUAUUUCUUCCG